UACAGAGGUCUCAAGCGUUGUUCGGAUUCAUUGGGCGUAAAGGGUGCGUAGGCGGCGCGGUAAGUCGGGUGUGAAAUCUCGGGGCUUAACUCCGAAACUGCAUUCGAUACUACCGUGCUUGAGGACUGGAGAGGAGACUGGAAUUCAUGGUGUAGCAGUGAAAUGCGUAGAGAUCAUGAGGAAGACCAGUGGCGAAGGCGGGUCUCUGGACAGUUCCUGACACUGAGGCACGAAGGCCAGGGGAGCAAACGGG
rnacentral:rRNA from 1 species